rnacentral:rRNA from 1 species
CUAAUACAUGCAAGUCGAACGAGCUCAGUUCUUUCGGGAACUGGGUUAGUGGCGCACGGGUGCGUAACGCGUAUGCAACCUGCCUUAUGCAGGGGGAUAGCCCGGGGAAACCCGGAUUAAUACCCCAUAGAUCAGUAGUAUCGCAUGGUACAAUUGGUAAAGAUUCAUUGGCAUAAGAUGGGCAUGCGUCUGAUUAGCUAGUUGGUAGGGUAACGGCCUACCAAGGCGACGAUCAGUAGGGGUUCUGAGAGGAUUAUCCCCCACACUGGUACUGAGACACGGACCAGACUCCUACGGGAGGCAGCAGUGAGGAAUAUUGGUCAAUGGGCGCAAGCCUGAACCAGCCAUUCCGCGUGAAGGAAGAAGGCCUUAUGGGUUGUAAACUUCUUUUGUACCUGAAGAAACUCUGGGUCGUGACCUGGACUGCCGGUAGGGUACGAAUAAGCAUCGGCUAACUCCGUGCCAGCAGCCGCGGUAAUACGGAGGAUGCAAGCGUUAUCCGGAUUUAUUGGGUUUAAAGGGUGCGUAGGCGGCCCGUUAAGUCAGCGGUGAAAUCCCACGGCUCAACCGUGGAACUGCCGUUGAUACUGGCGGGCUUGAGUUCGGUCGAGGCGGGCGGAACUGGUGGUGUAGCGGUGAAAUGCAUAGAUACCACCAAGAACCCCGAUUGCGUAGGCAGCUCGCUGGGCCGAAACUGACGCUGAGGCACGAAAGCGUGGGGAGCGAACAGGAUUAGAUACCCUGGUAGUCCACGCCGUAAACGAUGAUGACUCGAUGUUGGCGAUAUACAGUCAGCGUCC